AUUGAACGCUGGCGGCAGGCCUAAUACAUGCAAGUCGAGCGAGCGGCGGACGGGUGAGUAAUGUCUGGGAAACUGCCUGAUGGAGGGGGAUAAAUACUGGAUACGGUUGCUAAUCCCGCAUACCAUCAGAUGUGCCCAGAUGGGAGUAGCUAGUGGGUGGGGGAAUGGCUAACCUAGGCGACGAUCCCUAGCUGGUCUGAGAGGAUGACCAGCCAAACUGGAACUGAGACACGGUCAAGACUCCUACGGGAGGCAGCAGUGGGGAAUAUUGGACAAGGGGCGAAAGCCUGAUGCAGCAAUGCCGCGUGGGUGAAGAAGGCCUUCGGGUUGUAAAGCACUUUCAGCGGGGAGGCGGUACCCGCAGAAGAAGCACCGGCUAACUCCGUGCCAGCAGCCGCGGUAAUAC
rnacentral:rRNA from 1 species